UAUUGCAUUUGUCUGCAAUGUAAUUUACUUAAUUGUAAGAUGAUAUAAUAUUUUUAAUAAUUGGUUUUAAAACUUGUUUGAACAAUUCCUGAAAUUUUAUCUAUUGGUUAUCACAGGUUAAUGCAAGCUAACUCCAGCACAAUGGCUCAAUACAGAUGCACUGAUAUGAAUGAGGCUGCAGAUGCAAAGAGGGACGUAGUUGGCAAGGGCCUUUUAAACCAAUGCAGAAAUAUUUACUUCAUUGGAAGAAUAAAGAAAAACCAUUAAAAACCAUUGUAAGGUUGAAAUCCAGAGAGAGAUGUGACUCAACCUGUGUUUUAAAAUGUUCCCUCUUAAGACUCUGGAGAAUACUCUGAUUUCAAGAAGGUGAGAAUAGAUGCAGGAAUGCCAGACAGAAACUAUUGUAAAAGUCUAGGUGAAAGAUAAUGAGGACUAAGAGCAGCUCAGUAACCAAGGGUAAUUAUAGACAGAAGCUCACAAAGGCUAAAUGUGCUCUACAGAGCAGAGGAAGCAAGUCUGAGAACUAGCUAGUGGGGCUGGGGGGUGUGAAAUGGAAUAUAGAGACUGGAUGAAAACUUCACAGACUAUGCAGCAAAAAAAUGAGAGGAAAGAUGGCUGCUUUUGUCUUGAAAGUUGUUUUCCUCAAAUCACCUAGAGUCAAUGUCUAGGCAGACAGGGUUUCCUCUCUCCUAUUCUUUUCUUAGAAGAGCCUAGAACUGCCUAGAAAUCCUGGGGUGUGGGAGAGGCAUUGCCCACCCUUGUCUCCCUAAAGGGUUUGAUUAUGUCAGUUCUACCUCUGGAUGGAUCCUGAAAUGAACCCAUCUUCCCACCUUUUCUUAAUAGGAAGAACAGUCCUACCUUCAUGUUUAUCAAUAUUGUCCUUAAAAUAAGGGGAACUCCUUUAGCCUCUAGAUUUCAAGAAAACACGGGGAAAGUACUGGGGAUAGCUUUAUUUGUAACUCUUAACUAGGACACAUAAUAUGCAAGCUUCCAUUUACGUUCCUAUUCUAGACCCCACAAACAUUAAGAGGAAUGUGGCGGGGGGAGAAAUUAAAUCCAGGACGAUCUCUAGAUUUUCAAGUGGAUAUUAGUAUGGUUCCCUUUAUCAACUUCACACAAAUCAAUCUAAAUUGAAUAAAUUUCUAAUCAAGAUCUAAUCAUAAGUUUUGGUAGGAAAUUGACAAUCUGGUUUAAAAAAAUUUAAGACAAUUUUGAAAAAGCAUAAAAAUGACAUUCUUUAGGCAUUAGUCAAUGUUGCAAAUCUAAUGUGGCAUACUGGAUUUGAUACAGGCUAACCAACCAGUGAAAAAGAAUAAAGAGGCCAUAUUUGUCAUAUAGAAGUAACAUCACAAAACACUAGUGAGAGCUUACAUUAUUUCAUAAUGUAUAUUUUUUAAAAUGAUUCAAUACAUCUAAAAAUGUUGUUUUUCUAAUUCAUAACAUAAAAACUUCCAGUUAAUCUAUUUUAAUUCUAAGUGCAAUUCUAAAUGCAAAAGGUACAAUAUUUAUGAUUGGGUAAGAAAUGGUUUCUUACACACCUGCAAACCACAAAAGGGAGAAAAAUAUGAAAUAUUCUAUCUCAAUAAAAGAUUCUGACACAAAGGUUUCUAGAGGAUGGUGAAAAUGAAGAAUAUAUUUGCACAACUAUAAAUGGCAAAGAAAUAACAUCAAGAGUUCUUACAACCUAGGGGGAAAAACAACCUAACAGAGAAAUAGGUAACAACUAUGGGGAGACAAUUUACAUAAGCCAUCCAAACAGCUAAUUAGUAUUGAAGGAGCAUGUUCAAUCUCACUAGUAAUCAGAGCAAUGCAAAUUAAAACAAUGAGAUUCUACUUAGGAUCUCUCAGGCAGACAGAAUCAAAACGAAAUCUCUCAGGUUUUUUAUUUCUGUGGCAGCCCAUAAGAAAGGGAAGCUCUCCUCACCUGUUUGUUCAAAUGAAAACUGUUGCAGCCAUUCUGAAAAGCAAUUUAUCAGUGUUUAAUGAAGUUACCUAUGCGUGUAAUCUACUCCAGAAUACAUUCCCAAGGAAACGCUCAAACUGAUUCUCAAAGAGGCAUCUUGGACAAUGCCUGGCACAAUGUCUUUGAUUAUGAAGAAUCUGAAGCAUCCUAAGUACCCAUCACUGGAUAAGUAAAAAGUCAAACAUGCAUGUGAUGGGGCUGAGAUCAGCGGACAGAAUCACUGGAAGACUAGAUAAAAAUGAUAGUAUGAUCAUAACUGCAGUAAAAGAGACACAGAUUAAAAAAAGACUUUUACAAAUCCAUUGAAGUCUUCAUAAUAAUUGCCUGUAGCAGGAUGAUAUAUGAUUUUUUUUCUUUAAAAUUGUCCUGUUUUCUCAAUAUUCUAUUAUGAACAUAAAUUGUGUUUUUAAUUCUCAGAAAUAAUGUCAAUCUGUAGACAUAAUAAGAUUCCUCAAAUAUGCUUUUAUCUGAACUACAAAUAAAAUGUAAAAUAUCUUACUUCAAAAUGUCCAUGUGUUCACAAUAAAGAAACUGUAAAACCUGAAUGGAAAUGGAACUGGGCUUUGCCACAUUAAAGAUGGCCAAGUUCCUUGACCCUCCUGGCCCUGUCUCCUCAUUUGUAAGUCAUUGGAUGUGAGUUGUGAUCGCAAAUGUUCCUUCUAGCUUAAAUGUUUUAUGAGAAUAUCCAGAUUCAAAUUACAUUUCACAGUCAUCUUUAUUUACAUAAAAAUCUAUCUAAUUUACUUACAUCAAAAAUUAUCAGAAAAAAAAAGCAACCUCUCUUGGACCACUCCUGAUAAUAAGGGUUUUUCAAAGUUUGGAUGAAUUUGCCACAACCUCACAGCACAAUAUCAACAAAUAUGUUUACAGGCAUGAAUAGGCUAAAACAAUUUACAGUCGUUUCAGAAACGCGACCACCUCUGCUACUGAAACACUGUUGUACAUAUAGGGAAGGCUCAGUAUAUCCAUUUGCCUGGUUGGUUAGCUUUCUUUACAGAUUGUUUGCUUUGAUAAAAAGGAAGGUGACCCAUCUGGACUCAAGGGAACUUGGGAUCCUCACCUAAGGCAGUUUGUGUUUUGUUUUUUGUUUUUUUUUUGGCAGAGAGCGCCCUCUGGAAAUAAGCAGAGGAACUGCUCUCCAGGUAUUCCACCUGAAUAGAGCUCACCUGCAUCCAUUCUAGGGUUUUCUUGGGAGCUGACAGCUUUCCUGUCAAGUCGCUGUGGCAUUUAGCUAUGAGAUGAGAGCAAAUCAACCUUCCUGAAGAAUAUCAAUGCUUAACUUUCAAUCCUUUAUUUACAUUUCCUUGGACACAUCAGCCCUGAAGGAUACAAGAAAUGCAGCACAUAGGCAUGGGAUUAGAGGUGGGCCGGUACAAUAUGUGGCUAAAACAGUAAACUACAUGUGACCUGCCCAGCUGUCA